GCAGUCGUGGCCGAGUGGUUAAAGCGAUGGACUAGAAAUCCAUUGGGGUCUCCCCACACAGGUUCGAAUCCUGUCGACUGCG
rnacentral:tRNA from 2 species